rnacentral:rRNA from 1 species
AACGAACGCUGGCGGCGCGCCUAAUACAUGCAAGUCGAGCGAGAAGACGUAGCAAUACGUUUGUAAAGCGGCGAACGGGUGAGGAAUACAUGGGUAACCUACCCUCGAGUGGGGAAUAACUAGCCGAAAGGUUAGCUAAUACCGCGUACGCUCCUUGGACUUCGGUUCAGGGAGGAAAGCGAUACCGUGGGUAUCGCGCUCUUGGAUGGGCUCAUGUCCUAUCAGCUUGUUGGUGAGGAACGGCUCACCAAGGCUUCGACGGGUAGCUGGUCUGAGAGGACGAUCAGCCACACUGGCACUGCGACACGGGCCAGACUCCUACGGGAGGCAGCAGUAAGGAUAUUGCGCAAUGGGCGAAAGCCUGACGCAGCGACGCCGCGUGGGGGAUGAAGGUCUUCGG